GCAGAAAAUAUCACAAAAGUCAACAAAAUUCUCUCCCGAAUAUAAUAACAUAAUAAUAUAAUAUAACACACAAUUUGAAAAUGAGUAUUCAUGGUGGUAAAAAUAUCGGAUUGAGUACCCAUUUCCCUUCCGAAAGUUGGGUUACGUUCUUUGGAACUUGAAGCUUUUUUUAAGGAAAAUACUCUCUCCCUUUCGUCGAUUCUCUCUCCAACGACGAAUUCGACCCCAGAAAUUUCCUCCCUCAAUAUAUUUCCAUAAAAAAAUAUUUCCACCACGAAAUAAUUACUCUAGAAAAAAGAAUAAAAUCUCAAUUUUCCACCACUUAA